rnacentral:rRNA from 1 species
UACAGAGGUCCCAAGCGUUGUUCGGAUUCAUUGGGCGUAAAGGGUGCGUAGGUGGCGCUGUAAGUCGGGUGUGAAAUUUCGGAGCUUAACUCCGAAACUGCAUUCGAUACUGCGGUGCUCGAGGACUGGAGAGGAGACUGGAAUUCAUGGUGUAGCGGUGAAAUGCGCAGAUAUCAGGAGGAACACCGGUGGCGAAGGCGGGUCUCUGGGCCGAUACUGACGCUGAGGAGCGAAAGCGUGGGGAGCGAACAGG